GCGUACUUAGGUUCCCACGUGCGCAGCCGGCCGCUGACCAAUCAGCGGCCGCUACAAGACAACGCCUGGGCCGUCAGCCGACCAAUCCAGCGGACCUCAGAGCCGUCGCAGGGGGGCGGGCAUUGCUAGAGCGACUGCCAAGGGGAGAGGCUCUGGUUCCCUCUGCGCGGCCGCAGUUCCGGCCUCCGAGCCCCUGUAGCUCGGCGUUCGUUCGCGGGGGCUGGUGGGAUCGGAACCCCGUGCUAGACCGAAAACACGAGCCUCUAAGGCUGAGAGGGGUUUAGUGCGGCUGCGCAGGAGCGCCGGCGCGCGCGAUUCUUCCUGUGGUGGAGCGGGUUUAAGGAGGCGGCUCGCGGGGGUGAGGCGUUUAGGGUGAGGUAACACAGACCUUGGAGCCAGAUUUGCUGGGUUUGUACCCCAGCCCCAACAGUUAAGCGCUCUAUGGCUUUGGGCAACUCAGGUAGCAUGAAUCUCAUCAGCACAGAGAGAAAGCUUCACUGAAAACUCAUUGCAGGUCGCACCCCCUCAACUCAGAUGGCAACAGUGCAGUCAGAGGCCUGCCCUUCUGAGGCCUGCUUCUCCCACUUUCACGUGCGGAGGAUAAUCGUGAUGUCGACAACAACUUGCCAUCUUUCUCUGAAUAUUCAUUCAACAAAUAAUUACUGUGCAGCCACUGAGCGCUGUCCCUGCCUGAGGCACUGAGGUAUUUACCCAAGAGAAAUGAAAAUGUAAAUCUACAAAAAGACUUGUACAAAAGUAUUCUUAGCAGCUUUAUUCAUGAUGGCCCCAAACUGGAUACAGCUCAACUAAAUAGAUCCCUCGGCAGGACCCGCACGAUACCUGGGACUCCAUAUUUGUCGAAUCAAUGAGAGGAACACAGAGGCUCUACAGGGUGGAGAAACCCCAAGAUGGAAGGCGCCUGGGUACCAAAUGACUGCAUGCCGACCUGCAUUAGACUGCAGUGUGAGAAAGAAGCCACUGAAAUGUUGGGGGUUGAUCACCAGAAUUAGCCUACCUUGAGCAAUUCACUUUCCUAUCUCUUUAAUCAGAUGAUACAAAACACAAUUUAAUGCUUUGCUGAUUACUUAGGGUCUUUAUUAAGAAGGCUUAUUAUUGGUCUCUAUGGCAACACAUUUCAAAGACUCCUUUUUGGAUUUCCAAGCUCUUUCCCUGAUGUUUAGUCCCCACUACCAUUCCUCUCUCACCCUUUUUCUAGGUCCUUCCCCAUAGUUUGAAUCCACGGUGGGCUGAGGAAAACAGACACCAUGGCUGGGUAACAUCUGCCCAUUGAAGAAGAGUUACUAGUGGUCUGAGCAAGAACCUAAGUGAGAAAGUGCGUGGGCUUGCUGACAACUAUUUGCAGCCUUGGGAAGCUCCUUCCACUUACUUUCAGGCUUAGUGCUGUGUUCCAGAGAGCUGAAGUUAAUGCAUCUCUGAAAAGAGUGGGGCAUUUUGGCAUUGUCUAGCCUACAAAUUUUCAAAGCUUUAAUUCUCCUACUAGUCAUCUUGGGGGGAAUCUACAAUAAAGGUUCUAAUUCUGUCCCUUGACAUUCAUGGGCUAUUCAACUUUCAAAAUACUGUCACUUCCUGAUUUUCUACACAUAGAGGAUACCCAUCAUAUGCCCCAAAUCUGUUUUAAACUCGCCUUUCCUGCUUAAUUAUUUUGUUGACACCUAUCUUAUAGGAGCUGGAAGAAUCGACUGGAAAAGGCUAAAAAAUUUUAUUCCUGUUCCAGAGGUGGUAUAUUAUCUUUAUAUCUUGGGACAAUUUACCAGGAAACCCAGCUGUGCUUUAGACCUGGUCUUUGGAUUAUUCUGAUAGGUGGGGAUGCUGUCCCUUCCCAGCAUGAGGUGGGCAGCAGGAGACACAUUGGUGGGGCAGAUCAAGGGGAGAGAUUUGGGGAGAGGCCUACAGACUCCACAUACCCUGACAGUCUGAUUUCACUAUUUUAUUGAAAGAACCAAGAUGACCGUAUGUAAGUGAUCCUUUUGGUCUGUUUCUUCAUCUAUAGAACAAGGAGGAUGGAGAUGAUCUGGGAGGUUUUCACUAGGUCUCGCGCUGGAAGCCUAUUGUUCUAUGAAACCUGGAACCAGCACCACCUUCUGAAAUGAUUCCUCAUCAUCAGUUCUUAUUUCUUCUUGCCAUUUCUGCUGAUCAUCCAGAACUGACCACCCUACACGUAAAUUUCAGCAUCUGCAAGGGCAGUAAUAUGUUCUGGGAUCUGCCCAGCCUGGGUAACCUUUUUGCCCCAGGCUGACCUUGUUGGUGACCUUGGGGAUCCCAAUUCCAGCUCCACUCUCCAUGAUACACACCCUCUCCAUAUGUUUCCCUAAGGUGGCUUCCCCGCUUUACUCUCUUUGGCUCCAAUGACAGAAACCCAGUUUGGCCGCCAAAGUUUAUUUCCCUGGAGCAAGUUGGAUGCCCCUGCACAGCUAUGGCUGUGGCGGAGCGUUACUCCUCAUCUCUCCUAUUAGCAGCAGCACGUCGCUACCGCUGCCCCCGUCCACUGCUCACAGGAGACCCCGCGACUUCCACAAGAAAUCACUGCUAUAAAGUGGCUCACUCGUUCAUAAGGAACUAUGUGUUUAUUCAUAUAUACUUUAUGUCAUAACAAAUGUAAAUUAAUUUCAGGGCCCAACUACCCAAGCUAGUAUCUAUAUGGCUGCCUGUAUAAAAUUUCUCUCUCAAAAUUCUCAAAACCAUCUGGCAUCAACUACUGUAUUGUGACCUGUUAAAAUAAGUAACAGCUGUGAUAAUCCCUCUCGAUUUAUGGCAAGCUAUAAAGCUUUGCAUAUACUGGCAAUGCAUAUAAAAUAAUAAAUAAAACCAUUAUCAUUC